GAAAAAGUCAUAUAAUUCUUUAUGAAGAUGAAAAUGAGGCCUUGUGUUACAUAAAACAAUACGAACUAGAACACACUGUUCGCUUUGUAGCAUGGUUUACACCCAAAGGAUUUGGUAACACAGAUGUACAUAGUGAAAAUCAUAAAGUUUUAUGGGAAACUGAAUGAUCUUAUGCAGAAGUGCCUUUCAUGGUUUUAGCACAGAAAGUUUUAGAUUGUUCACAUGGAACAGAUGCAAUAAUGCAAGAAAAAAAACAUACAAGGAUAAAACAAAAGCAAAGAAAACUGAACACUCUUGUCAAAAAAGUUAUUUUAGUGUGCAAGACACAAAAAAAUUCCAAUGUCCAGCACAAAUUUC